GCAAAAUCACCUCCCACCCCAGGAUUAGUUCAACACCAACGUCAGCUAAACAGUUAAGCCACUCCUGACCAGAAUGAACAAUACCAAGUAGCCCUGGAAAGAUGAUUGGGAAAUUGCAGUCUGUCUUGCCUGGCUUAUCAAGACAGACACACAACACAAUUCUCCUGUCUGUGAUGAAACCUGGGACUUCUGGUCAUCGACUCCAGAAUCUGAAAUAAAAAGAAAAAAAAAUUAUUAAGAGAGUCCUGCCUCUACCCUGUGGUCUCAACCCCAUACAUUCUCAUGAGUCUGAUUUGCCUAGAGAAGUAGGCAGAUAUUGCCUUGGACCUGAAAGAUGUGUUCUCCAGCCUCUCAUUGUUAGAGCUAAGUCAAUUCAUCUUUGCUUUGGAGUGGACGGACCAAGAAGGAGGUUAUAGAGGGUAACUUAGAUGGACCAGGUUGCCUCAGGGAUUUGACAAUUUUUCCAACCCUCUUUGAUGAGAGUGUUGGAAACUUGUGUUUCCAAUCUUAGGUCAACUAAGUAUUAACCCCUUGCUCUUCCACCAGGGGUUUGCAGGGCCCAUACUCUUAUAAUAUAUAAAGACCUCCUAGCCUCUAAAACUAACAGAAAUUAAAAGGGCCACGGAGGGACUCCUGCAACAGUUAUAGAACUUGGGGUACACCAUGUCAGCUCAAAAAGCCCUACUUUGUACACCUCAUGCGACUUGAAGAGGUGAGGCAAAAGGAGCCUGUCUCAAAGUAGGAUUGCUGCCAGUUCUUCAGAUCCCAACACCAAAGACCAAGAGACAUGUUUGAGAAUUCUCAGGUUCAUCUAUGUAUUUCUGACCCAAGAUACCAGAGUUUGUGGAAAUAGCAACACUUUUAUAUACUGGAGCAAAUCAGGCCCUGCGUGCCUAAUCUGGAUAGACUAAACAAAAGGCAUUUGAGGCUUUAAAUGACUUAGGCUCCAGCCUUAGCAAUUCCAGAUACCUCAAAACCUUUUCAUCUGAUUAUGGAACAAAAUACAAAAGGGUUUUAUCCCAAGCUUUGGGGCCAUUGAAAAGCCUUGUGACAUAGCUGUCCAAACAUUUGGAUCCUUUAGCCACAGGAUGACCCACUUGUCUAAGAGCAAUGCCAGGAAAGAGAGAGAGAGAGUGAGAGAGAGAGAGAGAUCAGUAUCUUAUACUCACAGCACCACAACUGGUUGUGACCUUCCUCUGAGGAACCCCAGGAUUCGAUGCCUGUGUACCAGGCUCUACUCGUGAACCACCCUCGUGUGCAAUUUGAGAAACCCAUGUCUAUCAAUCCUGCUCCCCUCUUUUCUAUAUGAGUAUGUACAGGUCCUCAUCUGUGGCUGACUGGAGAUGACAUCCCCCUAAAAGAGUUUGAUGCAGUGCUCUACUCAGGUAGGAACAGCUUCAUUAAUGAUGAAACCAGUAUAUGGGGUGUAACCUUCAGACCAUAUACCACUGAGGCGGGGCCACCUGCAGUGCUGCUUCUCCGACUCAACUAAUUUCCUUUGAUGUGACACUGCCUGCCACCUGCCAUGAGGCCUAACCGGUUCUCCAAGAUUUUCCGGAGUUAACUACAACCUGUGAAUCUGGCGAAUUACUGCUAAAAGGCUGUGCUGACAACAUCAAGAAACUUGGUGUGAUAGGGGAUGGGUUUCCUUCUUUAUGAGCACAGACUUUUUUAUUAAACAUUUGAUCCUUGAGCAG
rnacentral:lncRNA from 1 species